rnacentral:rRNA from 1 species
UACGGAGGGUGCAAGCGUUGCUCGGAAUUACUGGGUGUAAAGGGCGUGUAGGCGGUUUCGUAUGUCUGGCGUGAAAGCCCCGGGCUCACCUCGGGAAGUGCGUCGGAAACUGCGAGACUAGAGUCCCGGAGAGGGAGGUGGAAUUCCAGGUGUAGCGGUGAAAUGCGUAGAUAUCUGGAAGAACACCGGGUGGCGAAAGCGGCCUACCUGG